rnacentral:misc_RNA from 1 species
GAUGAAGAACGCAGCGAAAUGCGAUACGUAAUGUGAAUUGCAAAUUCAGUGAAUCAUCGAGUCUUUGAACGCACAUUGCGCCCCCUGGUAUUCCGGGGGGCAUGCCUGUCCGAGCGUCAUUGCUGCCCUCAAGCACGGCUUGUGUGUUGGGCCCCGUCCUCCGAUCCCGGGGGACGGGCCCGAAAGGUAGCGGCGGCACCGCGUCCGGUCCUCGAGCGUAUGGGGCUUUGUCACCCGCUCUGUAGGCCCGGCCGGCGCUUGCCGAUCAACCCAAAUUUUUUAUCCAGGUUGACCUCGGAUCAGGUAGGGAUACCCGCUGAACUUAAGCAUAUCAAUAAGCGGAGGA